rnacentral:rRNA from 1 species
UACGUAGGGUGCAAGCGUUGUCCGGAAUUAUUGGGCGUAAAGAGCUCGUAGGCGGUCUGUCGCGUCGGCUGUGAAAACUCGGGGCUCAACUCCGAGCUUGCAGUCGAUACGGGCAGGCUAGAGUUCGGCAGGGGAGACUGGAAUUCCUGGUGUAGCGGUGAAAUGCGCAGAUAUCAGGAGGAACACCGGUGGCGAAGGCGGUGGGCUGGGCCGGCACUGACGCUGAGGAGCGAAAGCGUGGGGAGCGAACAGG